rnacentral:rRNA from 1 species
AAAAAAGGGAAUGGUUUGUGUGCAGCGCGCCGGCCGAACUUUCCGCCGGCUCGCUUGCAACGAUACUGCCCCCUUCCGCAUCCGACGCAUGUAUGUGAUGAGUCCAGCACAACAGCCUCUCUCCCUUAUCCUUUCCUAGCCUAUCUUUUCCCUUUUUCUUCUUCCUCCAGCCACACACAAAUGGGCUUUGCUCCUCCUUCUUCCUCCAGCCAUGACGGGCUCUGCUCCUCCUUCUUCCUCCAGCCAAUAGGAGCUCUGCUCCUCCACAAGCUUUUUUGUCGCGAGCGUCGGUAGAGACCAGCGGUGGUGAGGAAAACAGGUGGGGGCGUACAAGCGCUGCACGACCCAGGGGUUGGGGGCGGCUGCCAUGACCUCCAGUCUGGGUGGUGGCGGAACCACCACAAGUUCUCACCGGCGAGGCGGCGACGACGUGCUCGAGCAUGAGAAGCCUCCCCACCAUGCUACAAGCUUCAAACGCCAAGCAGGUGUUGCAACCAGCAGCAGGAUUUGCUGGAACCGGCCGGUGGAGGUGUUGGAACCGGCUUUGGCGCGGUGUUGCAUCCUCCACCAGAGAUGUUGGUACCGCCUUCGCGGUGUGCUGGAAACGGCAAACCAAUUGCUAUAGUGGGGCGAAGGCAUUGUCCAGUCGACCGGCGACGUGCUACAACGAGACGACAUUUUUUUUGCUGGAACGAGAAUUGCGACAUCAGGUAGAAGAAGCAAGCGAGUGCAGGUGGUGCUGGAAUGGGGGUCAUCAGAUGCUGGAACCGUCAAGUUUUUUUGCUACAACCAGCGAGCUUUUUUGUUGUGUCCGGCCACCGUUGAUGCUUGAGCGAGAUGUUGCCGACACGGCGACGAAGCAUUUUUGUUGGAACCAGCUAGAUAUUUUGCUACGACCAUCUCCCAUUUUUGCUACGGACGACAAUCGAGGCGACGUACACUGCGAGCUUGCCGACGGGUGUUGCUGCCGGCGACUCGUCGCCACCGGAGUUGCGACCAUCACCACUAGAGCUGUAACCCCGUGAUACGCUGCUACAUUCACGGAGCCGGCGAGGAAUGCAAGAGGCGACGAAGGUGGGUGGUGUUUUGCGAGUGCCGGCGGCGGUGAGGCUGCGAGCACUGGCGACGAGCAGGGGCGGUGGCACCGGCGGAGAUACAGCAAGGCCGGAUGGGUCGUGGCCCGCCCAGGAUUGAAGGGGACAAAAGUUUUAUAAGAAGCCCAGCCCAUAACAUUGCACUGGUUUUCAGUUUGGUAGCACACUUUGCAGUCUCUGGCUCGCUCCUUUUUAUGGUAGCUCCGCCACUGGGCAGUGGUGGUCCAAACGAGAGCAUCGUGGGCCAGCGAUGUGUGGGAUCCGGCGAGCGGCGGCGGCGCUCGUUUUUUUCUCCUAUUUUUCCUUCCUGAGGCAGGAUGAAGAAAGGGGAGGCAGGGUCAAAUCUGACGGUUACCUGCGGAUAGAUCGAGCGGCUACAGGCUGACCGGCCCAAAUUUGGGCCGGCGCCGGGGCCUAAAGCUCGCCUUAAAAAAAAGGAUGAAAGUCAUCGCCGAACACGAUUGGUAUGUAACCUGGAACGUAAGUUGUCAAGUAACACGAUUCAAAACAGCCUGGAUACGUGCGUGGGUUGUGCCUUUGGCCGGCGGCAAAUCGACUAGCUAGUAGGAGUACGACCUUGCUACGUUGCUUAGUACGGUACGGGUUCAAGUCAGCUUCUCGGCAAGAAGCGGGAUCAAAGUCAGUUUGCUUCUUCACGUCGUCGUCCGGAAGUAAUCGGUGCCGAUCGAGACUGGGCCAACAGGAGAUAAAACUGGAAGGUCCUCCAUAGUGCUAAGUUAGUCGUCUCUGUUUCGCGGAAAGGCAGUCCAGCCAUGGCGGCGGCGGUAGCGACGGCCGGCAGCCAGGAGGACAUGCUCGGCAAGCUGCCUGACGACAUUCUUCUCUGGAUCCUAAUCCGUCUUGAUUCACAAGACGUCGUAAGCUGCAGUCGCGCAAGCAGACGGUUGAGGCACCUCCCCGGUUUGCCUCCUAUUAUUUCCCUGAGCGUGAAGGACUACAUGUACGGCCGCUACGUGCAGCACAAGGACGACGACGGGUUUGAGGCGGUUUUGUCGAUAAAGUGCAGGAACAACAAGGCUUGGAGCACCACGGCCAUGGUGCAAUCCGUCAGGAGCAUCUUGGCAGGCAAGAACCAGCUUGGGUGCGCCGCCAUCCAUCAGCUCCACCUGACCUUCUACCUGAGGGACGAGUCCAUCGACAUCGUCCGCGCCGUCGAGGGAGCCAUCGCGCGCGGCCGCGGCAUCGUCGGCAGGGCGGGGUUCACGAUGCUGGGCGAGAAGAUCACCUACACGAGCGAGGUGACGGACCUGGUCGCGCAGGGAGCGCGCCUCCUCUCCUACCUCGGCGCCUGCCCGCGCGCGUUCGCCGCGCUCACACACCUGCACGUGGAGAGCGUCAAGCUGAGGCAGCCCGACGUGUCCAACCUGCUCGACCGCUGCAAGAAGCUGAAGCACCUGUCUCUGCAGAACCUUGAUUGUGGGAAAGAGGUGGUGCUGAGGAUCCAACACCCGGAGCUCACCCAGCUGAAGCUUGUCAUGUGCUUCUGUGACAGCUUCGAGCUCAAGUGGCUUCCGGAGCUAGAGGAGCUCACCAUUGGCACCUGGUGUCCUUCCAAGCGCCGAGACCCGGUGCUGUUCGGCCAUGCUCCGCGGCUUUCCAAGCUAACGGCCUGUAACGGCUAUAAUACCAGGUGCAGGAAACUCAAGCUGAGCGAGUUUCUUCGCGACGCAAACAUGCGUGAGCUGCAUAUGAACUUCGACACCGAAAUGCCAUGGUUUCAGAUGGAGCGACCAGAGCAACUGGCUCCUCGGCUGAAAAACCUGAGGAUUCUGAAGCUCGACAACAUCAAUGAAGAAUGCAGCGUCACUUGGACACUGUUCCUGCUGGAAGCUGCGCCUCUCUUGGAGAAGCUCCACAUCAAGGUGUCGAACCACGAGUGUGAAUCCUUUGAGGAUGAGAUGCUAAGGAAACUUCUGGUCGUCGCGACAAGUAACAUCGAGUUCGAACCAUCUGACUUCAAGCAUUAUAAGCUGGCCGUGCUCACCAUCUACGGCUUUCAGCCCGGCGAUAUGUUCAUGCAGUAUAUGAGACGGGUGAUGGAAGCGGCUGUCAAUUUGGAAGAGAUAUCUCUGCAUGACCACUGGUGCGAAGAGUGCGACUUUUAUCCAUUGACAAGGUAUCCCAAGACCGACCAAGACAGAGAAUUGAUACGGGAGGAGAUCAAUAGAGGGAGGCCGUCCCCUAUGAGGACCAUCCAAGUUUUAUUCAGUGAUAACAAGUAUAGAACCGAUGAUUGACCGUAUGUCCGUAUCACUGCGACCCUGCAUGACUUGUUGCAACUUCCUAAAUUGUCGUCUGGUGUAGCCUUUUUUAUAUUGAUUGACUGAACUUGUGUUUGUUCUUGGUACAGAUCAACUCAUAGGAAAUUAUACUUUACUGGUCUUUUUUAUUGUUUAUUACAAUAAAGUUUUUUAAUAGUCAC